UGGGGAAUAUUGCACAAUGGAGGGAACUCUGAUGCAGCGACGCCGCGUGAGUGAUGAAGGAAUUCGUUUCGUAAAACUCUGUUCUAUGGGAAGAAAAGGACUGUACCAUAGGAGAAAGCUCCGGCUAAAUACGUGCCAGCAGCCGCGGUAAUACGUAUGGAGCGAGCGUUGUCCGGAAUUAUUGGGCGUAAAGGGUGCGCAGGCGGCUUUACAAGUUGGAUGUGAAAUAUUAUGGCUCAACCACAAACGUGCAUCCAAAACUGCAAAGCUUGAGUUAAGGAGAGGUAAGUGGAAUUCCUGGUGUAGCGGUGGAAUGCGUAGAUAUCAGGAGGAAUACCGGUGGCGAAGGCGACUUACUGGACUUAAACUGACGCUCAGGCACGAAAGCGUGGGGAGCAAACAGG
rnacentral:rRNA from 1 species